AGAGUUUGAUCAUGGCUCAGGACGAACGCUGGCGGCGCGCUUAACACAUGCAAGUCGAACGAGAACCAGGGCUUCGGCUCUGGGGAAAGUGGCGAACGGGUGAGUAACACGUGAGUAAUCUGCCCUCGGCACCGGGAUAGCCCGGGGAAACCCGGAUUAAUACCGGAUGGCCUUUUGAGCUUUCGAGCUUGAAAGAAAAGGUAGCUUCGGCCUCCGGCCGAGGAGGAGCUCGCGGCGGAUUAGCUUGUUGGUGGGGUAAAAGCCCACCAAGGCGACGAUCCGUAGCUGGUCUGAGAGGACGAUCAGCCACACUGGGACUGAGACACGGCCCAGACUCCUACGGGAGGCAGCAGUGGGGAAUCUUGCCCAAUGGGCGCAAGCCUGAGGCAGCGACGCCGCGUGGGGGAAGAAGGCCUUCGGGUUGUAAACCCCUUUCAGGAGGGACGAAGCCACUCGGGUUAAUAGCCCAGAGGGUGACGGUACCUCCAGAAGAAGCCCCGGCUAACUACGUGCCAGCAGCCGCGGUAAUACGUAGGGGGCAAGCGUUGUCCGGAUUUAUUGGGCGUAAAGAGCGUGUAGGCGGCCAGACAGGUCCGUUGUGAAAACUCGAGGCUCAACCUCGAGACGUCGACGGAAACCGUCUGGCUAGAGUCCGGAAGAGGAGUGUGGAAUUCCUGGUGUAGCGGUGAAAUGCGCAGAUAUCAGGAAGAACACCUAUGGCGAAAGCAGCACUCUGGGACGGUACUGACGCUGAGACGCGAAAGCGUGGGGAGCGAACAGGAUUAGAUACCCUGGUAGUCCACGCCGUAAACGAUGGAUGCUAGGUGUGGGCGGUGUCGACUCCGUCCGUGCCGAAGCUAACGCAUUAAGCAUCCCGCCUGGGGAGUACGGCCGCAAGGCUAAAACUCAAAGGAAUUGACGG
rnacentral:rRNA from 1 species